rnacentral:rRNA from 1 species
AUGAACGCUGGCGGCGUGCCUAAUACAUGCAAGUCGAGCGAACAGACGAGGAGCUUGCUCCUCUGACGUUAGCGGCGGACGGGUGAGUAACACGUGGAUAACCUACCUAUAAGACUGGGAUAACUUCGGGAAACCGGAGCUAAUACCGGAUAAUAUAUUGAACCGCAUGGUUCAAUAGUGAAAGACGGCUUUGCUGUCACUUAUAGAUGGAUCCGCGCCGCAUUAGCUAGUUGGUAAGGUAACGGCUUACCAAGGCAACGAUGCGUAGCCGACCUGAGAGGGUGAUCGGCCACACUGGAACUGAGACACGGUCCAGACUCCUACGGGAGGCAGCAGUAGGGAAUCUUCCGCAAUGGGCGAAAGCUUGACGGAGCAACGCCGCGUGAGUGAUGAAGGUCUUCGGAUCGUAAAACUCUGUUAUUAGGGAAGAACAAAUGUGUAAGUAACUAUGCACGUCUUGACGGUACCUAAUCAGAAAGCCACGGCUAACUACGUG